rnacentral:rRNA from 1 species
UGGGGAAUAUUGCACAAUGGGCGAAAGCCUGAUGCAGCAACGCCGCGUGAGCGAUGAAGGCCUUCGGGUCGUAAAGCUCUGUCCUCAAGGAAGAUAAUGACGGUACUUGAGGAGGAAGCCCCGGCUAACUACGUGCCAGCAGCCGCGGUAAUACGUAGGGGGCUAGCGUUAUCCGGAAUUACUGGGCGUAAAGGGUGCGUAGGUGGUUUCUUAAGUCAGAAGUGAAAGGCUACGGCUCAACCGUAGUAAGCUUUUGAAACUGAGAAACUUGAGUGCAGGAGAGGAGAGUAGAAUUCCUAGUGUAGCGGUGAAAUGCGUAGAUAUUAGGAGGAAUACCAGUUGCGAAGGCGGCUCUCUGGACUGUAACUGACACUGAGGCACGAAAGCGUGGGGAGCAAACAGG